rnacentral:lncRNA from 1 species
GGGAGCUGGCCUGGAGGAGAAGCAGAAAAACCAGUUAGAACACUGGUGAUCUGGUUGAAUGGGUGACUGGGUGACUCUGAAGAGACUGGAUAUACUUACUCUGAUGAUCCCUUCUACAGGUCUUAUUGAUGAAUAGCUCCACAGGUGGGGGUAGGCCGAUUUAGUGGGAGCAAAGAGAUUAUUCCUGGGUUUCUGGAUUAAGCAGCUGGGUGGUGCCUUUUAACAAAAAACAAAACAGGGGAGGAUGGGUGGGAAGAGUGACAAGUUUAGUUCUAAAUCUGUCAAGUUGAAGAACCUGUGAGAGAUCCUGGGAACGCUGUCGGUAGGGAGCUAGAUAGCAGAGCCUGGAGUUCAAGAAGCAGGGUGGGGCCCACAGGCUCCCCCGAAAGUGGGUGGCCAGUGCAGCCUGGGAGGGCUGGGCUUGCUGGGCUGGGUUUGAAUGGACAGCAGGGCCCAAGCCUCGGGGAAAUCAGGGGAUUGUAGAGGAGGUAAAGGCAACAAGAAAAUUUCAAAGUAGAGAUUAGAAAGCAACCAAGAAAAGUGAGAAAGGAUGGUGACUUCUAAGUCUAGGGAGGAAUAAAACACAGUGUUAGAUGUUGUUGAAUGGCUAAUCAAAAUAAAGACUUGAUUAUUUCCUUCAGCAUAAUUCCUGGGCAGGGCACGUGGGGAUACUUCCAGUGAGAUGGGCCAUGAGUUGUUGGCUGUGGAAGCUGGGUGUUGAGCACAUGAGGUUCACUGCACUGUUCUAUUUAUGUAGAUGUAUGAAACUUCCCAUAACAAAUUUUUAAAAUUAUUUUUCCAUAAUAAAAAUGUAGCCUUUGGAUUUAUUAUCACAGAGACCAGUGACCUCUGCAUGAAUAGUUUCAUGAAGGCAGAAGCCAGACUGAAUGGAUUAAGCAGUGGAGGCAAGAAAGAGACAGGGUGUAAACAGAGAAGAGCAUGGGUUUGGAGGAGGAUUUUUUUUUUCUUUUUCAGAGUGGAGAGACUGGAGCUUGGUUAUAUCCUGAUAUGGCUGAGCUGCGGGCAGGGAAAUGUUGAAAAAGGAAGGAGCCUAAGAAGCCUGGUUCUGAGCUCACAAAAGAAGAAUGUCCAGCUUCGUCAGGUUGCUGGAGGUUGGCCAAGGGUGCCAAAGGAAGAAAAAUUGAACAUGAGAGUUCAGCUUAUAAUGCUGCUGGUGAAACAGUUCUCGGAGUUAUGACUUAACACGCUGUGCUCUUGAAAAAUCACCCUCAAAUACAAACACAAAUAUCCCAUUCUGAAUGCAAAAGGUAAGUUCCACAACGGAUUGCUAUAAAGAAAACAUUCACUUAAAAUCCUCGUUUCAAUUCACUUUCAAUAGAAAAUUAGAAAUGAGUCUUGGCAACAAUGACAACAACAAAAAAUUGAUCCCUGAAUGAACACAAGCAUACUUAAUGAUUUCAACAAACUUUUUGAAAACCGCA